GCCAGGCACAGUGGCUCGUGCCUAUAGUCCCAGCCACUUGGGAGGCUGAGGCUGGAGGAUCACUUGAGCCGGGGAGUUCUAGGCUGUAGUGCGCUAUGCUAAUCAGGUGUCCGCACUAAGUUCAGCAUCAAUAUGGUGACCUCCCGGGAGCGGGGACCACCAGGUUGCCUAAGGAGGGGUGAACCAGCCCAGGUCGGAAACGGAGCAGGUCAAAACUCCUGUGCUGAUCAGUAGAGGGAUCGCGCCUGUGAAUAGCCUCUGCACUCCAGUCUGGGCAACAUAGCAAGACCCAGUCUGU
rnacentral:SRP_RNA from 1 species